AUACGGAGGAUCCGAGCGUUAUCCGGAUUUAUUGGGUUUAAAGGGUGCGCAGGUGGCCAUUUAAGUCAGCGGUUAAAUCGUGGGGCUCAACCCCAUUCUGCCGUUGAUACUGGGUGGCUUGAUUGCGGUCGAGGUUGGCGGAAUUCGUUGUGUAGCGGUGAAAUGCAUAGAUAUGACGAAGAACACCGAUUGCGUAGGCAGCUGACCAGACCGCAAAUGACGCUCAUGCACGAAAGUGCGGGGAUCGAACAGGAUUAGAUACCCUGGUAGUCCGCACAGUAAACGAUGAAUACUUGUUUUCGGCGAUAUAAUGUCGGAGGCAAAGCGAAAGCGAUAAGUAUUCCACCUGGGGAGUACGCCGGCAACGGUGAAACUCAAAUGAAUCGACGGGG
rnacentral:rRNA from 1 species